rnacentral:lncRNA from 1 species
GUUAUGGGGGCGGUGCCCAAGUCCUGCAGCUGGUGGGCGUGGCCAGUGCCAUCCAAUCCACGUUGAGAGUCAGGGAGGAUGUUGCAACUCGAGAUGCUCUUAGAAGAGUGACAUUCUUUCCCUGUCCUCCGUGGAUUCCUUCCCCAGCUCUACCGUCCUGUGGACGUCUUCACCCCAGACCCCAGCUGGCUCAGAGCAUGGAAGGUGCAUCAAGGAGCAAAAUACGGCCUCUGCUGUCAGGAAACUCACCUUCAAUGUGGGGACAGGGGACAGACAUGCAGACCAACGCUUCUAACAAUCCCAGACGGCAGCCGUGGGGCCGAAACCCAGCGCGGCCCUGCGCCGGCUUGACAGGUUGACACGGGAAGUUCCCGGCCGAGGGAACAGCUUGUACGAGGCUUACAGGGGUCUGGAACAGAUAAUCGGAACCAGGAUUGUCUCUGAGAACCCGCGGCCGCCGUGACCCCAGGACAUUUGCGGGAGGCCUCUGACACGGGGGCCCUGCCUUGCCCCCCAUUUGGGGCGGGGGCCCAGCUGGAACAAAUGGGUCCCUUUCCAG